CGUGUACUCCCUCCGUUCCAAAUUACUUGUCUUAGAUUUGUCUAGAUACGGAGGUAUCUAGCACUAAAAUGAGUCUAGAUACAUUCGUAUCUAGACAAAUCCAAGACAAGUAAUUCGGAACGGAGGGAGUAUGUG
rnacentral:pre_miRNA from 1 species